CGAGGGGUAACAGAUCUUCGGAUGCUGACGACCGGCCAACGGGUGAGUAACACCUAUGCAACUUACCCAUAACUCGGGAAUAGCCCAAAGAAAUUUGGAUUAAUACCCAAUAAUACAGGCGUACCGCAUGGUAUUCUUCGUUAAAGAAUAAUCGGUUAUGGAUAGGCAUGCGUUCUAUUAGGUAGUUGGUGAGGUAACGGCUCACCAAGCCGACGAUGGAUAGGGGAACUGAAAGGUUGUCCCCCCCCACUGGUACUGAGACACGGACCAGACUCCUACGGGAGGCAGCAGUGAGGAAUAUUGGUCAAUGGACGAAAGUCUGAACCAGCCAAAUCGCGUGAAGGAGGAAGGUAUUAUGUAUCGUACACUUCUUUUGUAAGAAAGUAAAGUGCACUACCUGUAGUGUAUUGCAAGUACCUUACGAAUAAGCAUCAGCUAAUUCCGUGCCACCAGCCGCGGUAAUACCGAAGAUGCAAGUGUUAUUCGGAUUUAUUGGGUUUAAAGGGUGCGUAGGUGGUCUAAUAAGUCAGUGGUGAAAUCUCUUUGCUUAACAAGGAAAUUGCCAUUGAAACUGUUAGACUUCAGAAUGGACGAGGUAGGCGGAAUUCGUAGUGUAGCGGUGAAAUGCGUAGAUAUUACGAAUAACUCCCAUAGUGUAGACUGCUUACGAGACCAUAUCUGACACUAACAGCACGAAAGUGUGGGUAUCAAACAGGAUUAGAUACCCUGAUAGUCCACACAGUAAACGAUGAAUACUAAAUGUAUGCUAUAUAUCGCGAGUGGGCGAGUGAGAGGUCUCAGUAUUCCACCUGGGAAGUAUGCCGGCGACCGGUGGAACUUCAAAGGACUCGAGGGGGGGCCCGCCACAAGCGGAAGGAACAUGUGGUUUAAUUCGAUGUACCACAGGGAACCUGACCGGGCUUCAACGAUAUUUGAAUACUU
rnacentral:rRNA from 1 species